GCCUGGCGUGCUGCAGUCCAUGGGGUCGCAAAGAGUCGGACACCACUGAGGGACUGAACAACAUGCAGUCCUUCUGAGUGGGCCUGGGCACAGCGCUGCAUCUGUUCAGGCUGAGGGUUCUUGUGACUUGGUCUCUCUGCCCUUCCAGUCUGAUUCUGAGAACAAGCCCUGUUGGGAAUGGAGUGUGUCACCCUGAGCUUGAAAGGACAUCCAGGAAGCCCUGGGCUCUGGAGGAGACCUCUGUGGAUGUGAAGUGGGGUGGGGGAAAGGGGAGGCCUGGUUGGGUUCCUGAGCCUUUGCUGCCCCCUCCUGGAAGCCACAUCUAGGUCCCGGAGAGUAAGCUGUCCCAGAAACCCAGCUCUCCUCCAGCAUCCACGCCACCCUCCAUCUCCAGGCAGGCCCUUCUCGGAGUGUAUAUGGUUUGAACUUUGACAGUGACAUCCUCAAAGCCUGGAGUACCAGCUUCUGCUCUGUCCUGAGCGGCAGCCAUCGCAGCUAUGUGUUGCGUUGGAGGGAGCUGAGGAGCCAGGAGCCUGGGAGGAAGACACUCAGGGCCCCGAGAGAGCAAGAGGAGCAAGGAUGCAGAUGGGAGUGGCUGCUUUGGAGGCAGGGAGGGGCUGAGAGUUGUGAUCCCAGUGGAGGGAGUCUGCUCUGAGGAUCCUGGUUGGAUUUGACUUAACCCAGGCCUGGCCCCCUGGCUGGUGACUAAAGCGUUCUGGGGAUCCAGGGUGGGAACUGGUUACACUGACCUGAAGGGAAGGAGAGGUAGUGUAGAGAAGGGACCCCUGAAUUAUUAAUAAGCUCUGAAGAGUGAACAGAGAAACUCACAAGGAGGUGCAGGCCUCAAAGCCGCUCACAGCCCCUCCUGGCCCGCAUGUGAGGGCACAGCCUGGGGCUGGGGAGACGCUGGCUGGGCUUAGUCACUGAGGAUGGGCUCCAGGGAGGCGCCAUGGGCCGAGGGCAUUUUAAAGAAUAGGCCAGAUCAGGAGAUCGGCAGGAGAACACAUUUAAAAUAUUAACUCCCGUAUUUCCCCCUACCGCUGUCUCCUUCCUUCCCUGCAUGCCAGCGCCCCCACCCCAUACUUGAACUUUCAGCAGCCAUCCUCCGGCCCCUUGGUCCCACGUGAGGAAUGUAACAGAGGAAAGCGCCACUGGCUCUCAGGUUCUAAAAGCCUGAAGCCGCUC
rnacentral:lncRNA from 1 species